rnacentral:lncRNA from 1 species
CAUAUGAGACACAGAACCUGCACACUGAACACUGAGAGCCAGAUAAUCCUUAACAACCAACUCAUCAGACCGUUUGGAAAGUAGUCUGUUAUCUUUGGGAGUGAGAAGGUUCUUGGCCACCACCGCAGCGGUCAUAUCAUUCUUCAUCAUAGAGUCCCCAACGGUAAGAAGACCAGUAGGGGAUAAGAAGGAUGGGCGCCAUAUGUUGUCUUGAUAAGGCAUGGCUGCCUUUUCACCAAAGUUCAAGUCAAAAUUAUGGUCAUAUGAGCCAGACAUUCUCAGAAAUGAUGAAGGAGAAUGAGGUGCAAUAAAUCUCUGAGGUAAAGGAAAAAUUCCUACAAGCAAUAACCCUCUGAAUGUACUUCUUGCACACAAUUGGUGCCCUUAUAAAAGAAAGGGCAACAUGGUCGUUGGUUCAAAAAUUGAAAAGACACCACUCUCCGGAUUCCGAAGAGGCACCAUUUUUCACACUCAACAUCAGCUCAUCGGGUACCACAGAUAACUUUGCCAAAGAUCUCUGACAAAGUUUAGACACAUAAAUUUUGAAGGUUCAGCUACCCUUCUAUUGUUGG